GCGCCGGUAACUCAACGGUAGAGUGCGAUCUUGCCAAGAUCGAAGUUACCGGUUCGAAUCCGGUCCGGUGCU
rnacentral:tRNA from 1 species